rnacentral:rRNA from 1 species
UCAGUGGCGAACGGGUGAGUAAUACGCAGGGAACCUGGCCAUGGCAGGGGGAUACACUCUGGAAACGGAGCAUAAGACCCCAUAGGCAGUGAGAUGGCAUCAUCUUGCUGUUAAAGAAAGCUGCAAGGCUUUGGCGAUGGAUGGACCUGCGGUGCAUUAGCUGGUUGGUGAGGCAACGGCUUACCAAGGCGAUGAUGCAUAGCCGGCCUGAGAGGGCGGACGGCCACACUGGGACUGAGACACGGCCCAGACUCCUGCGGGAGGCAGCAGUAGGGAAUUUUCGUCAAUGGGCGCAAGCCUGAACGAGCAAUGCCGCGUGAGUGAAGAAGGUCUUCGGAUUGUAAAGCUCUGUUGCCGGGGAAAAAGAGGGGAUGCAGGAAAUGGCAUUUCAUGGAUGGUACCCGGCCAGAAAGCCACGGCUAACUACGUGCCAGCAGCCGCGGUAAUACGUAGGUGGCGAGCGUUAUCCGGAAUGAUUGGGCGUAAAGGGUGCGCAGGCGGUCUGUUAAGUCUGAAGGCAAAGGGAUGAGCUCAACUCAUUUAUGAUUCAGAAACUGGCAGACUUGAGGACAGGAGAGGGCGGUGGAACUCCAUGUGUAGCGGUAAAAUGCGCAGAGAUAUGGAAGAACACCAGUGGCGAAGGCGGCCGCCUGGCCUGUGACUGACGCUGAGGCACGAAAGCGUGGGGAGCAAAUAGGAUUAGAUACCCUAGUAGUCCACGCCGUAAACGAUGAGGAGCAGGUGUUGGGAGUGAAAUCUCAGUGCCGAAGCCAACGCAGUGACUCCUCCGCCUGGGGAGUAUGCACGCAAGUGUGAAACUCAAAGGAAUUGACGGGGGCCCGCACA